rnacentral:rRNA from 1 species
GAUGAACGCUGGCGGCGUGCCUAAUACAUGCAAGUCGAGCGAACAGACGAGGAGCUUGCUCCUCGGACGUUAGCGGCGGACGGGUGAGUAACACGUGGAUAACCUACCUAUAAGACUGGGAUAACUUCGGGAAACCGGAGCUAGUACCGGAUAAUAUAUUGAACCGCAUGGUUCAAUAGUGAAAGACGGUUUUGCUGUCACUGAUAGAUGGAUCCGCGCCGCAUUAGCUAGUUGGUAAGGUAACGGCUUACCAAGGCAACGAUGCGUAGCCGACCUGAGAGGGUGAUCGACCACACUGGAACUGAGACACCGCCCAGCCUCCUCCGGGAGGCAGCAGUAGGGAAUCUUACGCCAUGGGCGAAAGCCUGACGGAGCAACGCCGCGUGAGGGAUGAAGGUCUUCGGAUCGUAAAACUCUGCUAUUAGGGAAGAACAAAUGUGUAAGUAACUAUGCACGUCUUGACGGUACCUAAUCAGAAAGCCACGGCUAACUACGUG